rnacentral:rRNA from 1 species
AGAGUUUGAUCCUGGCUCAGAAUGAACGCUGGCGGCAUGGAUUAGGCAUGCAAGUCGUACGCUCUCUUCGGAGAGAGUGGCGCAAGGGUGAGUAACGCGUGAGCAAUUUACCUCCAAGUUUGGGAUAACUGUUGGAAACGACAGCUAAUACCGGAUGUGGUUAUUUGUACGCAUGAUGGAAUGACUAAAGGUUUACCGCUUGGAGAUAAGCUCGCGUUCCAUUAUGCUUGUUGGUGAGGUAAUAGCUCACCAAGGCUAUGACGGAUAGGUGGUCUGAGAGGAUGGUCACCCACACUGGGACUGAGAUACUGCCCAGACUCCUGCGGGAGGCUGCAGUCGAGAAUCUUCCGCAAUGCGCGAAAGCGUGACGGAGCAAUGCCGCGUGAGGGAUGAAGGCUUUCGGGUCGUAAACCUCUGUCAGAAGGGAAAAACAUUGAUGGUACCUUCAGAGGAAGCCACGGCUAACUACGUGCCAGCAGCCGCGGUAAUACGUAGGUGGCGAGCGUUAUUCGGAUUUACUGGGCGUAAAGGGUCCGUAGGGGGAUGGAUAAGUUUGAUGUGAAAUUUCGAGGCUCAACCUCGAACCUGCAUUGAAAACUGUCCAUCUAGAAUUCGGUAGAGGUAAGUGGAAUUUGUGGUGUAGCGGUGGAAUGCGUAGAUAUCACAAGGAACACCAAAGGCGAAAGCAGCUUACUGGGCCGAUAUUGACCCUGAGGGACGAAAGCUAAGGUAGCGAAAAGGAUUAGAUACCCUUGUAGUCUUAGCCGUAAACGUUGUACACUCGAUGUCGGGGGAAUUAGCCCCUUCGGUGUCUAAGCUAACGCGAUAAGUGUACCGCCUGGGAAGUACGGUCGCAAGACUAAAACUCAAAGGAAUUGACGGGGGCCCGCACAAGCGGUGGAGCAUGUGGCUUAAUUCGAGGCAACGCGAAGAACCUUACCUGGGUUUGACAUAUAUAUGACCGCUCCAGAAACGGAGUUUCUCUUCGGAGCAUAUAUACAGGUGCUGCAUGGCUGUCGUCAGCUCGUGCCGUGAGGUGUUCGGUUAAGUCCGGCAACGAGCGCAACCCAUGUCUUUAGUUGCCAACAGGUAAUGGUGGGGACUCUAGAGAGACUGCCCGAGUCAAUCGGGAGGAAGGCGUGGACGACGUCAAGUCAGUAUGGCCCUUACACCCAGGGCUGCACACGUGCUACAAUGGCGACUACAGAAGGCAGCAAUACCGCGAGGUGGAGCUAAUCCGAGAAAAGUCGCCCCAGUUCGGAUAGGAGUCUGCAACUCGACUCCAUGAAGUCGGAAUCGCUAGUAAAGGCGUAUCAGCUACGACGCCUUGAAUACGUUCCCGGGCCUUGUACACACCGCCCGUCACAUCAUGGGAGCCUGGUGCACCCGAAGCCGCCGUACCAACUGCUUGCAGAGGAAGGCGUCGAAGGUGUGCCCGGUAACAGGGAUGAAGUCGUAACAAGGUAACC